rnacentral:rRNA from 1 species
UACGAAGGGGGCUAGCGUUGCUCGGAAUCACUGGGCGUAAAGCGCACGUAGGCGGGUCUUUAAGUCCGGGGUGAAAUCCUGGAGCUCAACUCCAGAACUGCCUUGAUACUGAAGAUCUUGAGUUCGGGAGAGGUGAGUGGAACUGCGAGUGUAGAGGUGAAAUUCGUAGAUAUUCGCAAGAACACCAGUGGCGAAGGCGGCUCACUGGCCCGAUACUGACGCUGAGGCACGAAAGCGUGGGGAGCAAACAGG